UACGUAGGGGGCAAGCGUUGUCCGGAAUCAUUGGGCGUAAAGAGCGUGUAGGCGGCCCGAUAAGUCCGCUGUGAAAGUCCAGGGCUCAACCCUGGAAUGCCGGUGGAUACUGUCGGGCUCGAGUUCGGAAGAGGUGAGUGGAAUUCCUGGUGUAGCGGUGAAAUGCGCAGAUAUCAGGAGGAACACCAAUGGCGAAGGCGGUUACCUGGAGCUUUGCUGACGCUGAUGCGCGAAAGCGUGGGGAGCGAUCCGG
rnacentral:rRNA from 1 species